rnacentral:lncRNA from 1 species
UUCUUGCGCAAGAUUGAUCUGCAAUGGAAGAAUGAAAGGAGUUUCAUGCGAUGGAAGCUGAAGAGGUGCAACUAGAAGAGUUGCAGGACUGUCCUGCGGUCCAAGCUGAGGUGGUUCAGUUGGAGUUCCUUCUGACUGCGCAAGAUUGAUCUGAAGAGGUGUGAUUGGCUCUCCUUUGUUCUGUGCGUGUUCGCAGUCCACCUGUUGGAUGUAACAAUUAGUUUCUUUCAGUUCUGGCUCUUUUUGGCUCUCUUCCCUGCAAGGAUCAUUGUUUAGUAUAUCAUCAUGAUUUGUAUAAAAAUUAUCUUUGCUCAAAUAAUCAAUGAUAUCUAAAUCAACAACAGGUUCUGUUUGAUCAAUUCGUUUGGGCAAACAAUUUUCUGGCUGUGUUUUUUCAGCAACUUGUACUUGCCAACUUUCAUCAUCAUCCCAUACAUCUUGAAGCUCUUCCUCUCUUCUUAACAUGGUUGCAUUCAAUGAGUUGUUCAAUUGAUCCUGUUGCUGUUGGAUACUCUGCAAAGUCUUCAUAAUCUCAUCAAGAUUGGAACUUUGAGGUUCUGGUUGGGCUUGAUAUCCUUGAUAAUCCUAGUAGUUGUUAGCCUCUGCAUAACUGAAUUCUGGAUAGUCUCUCCAACCUGGAUUGUAUGUGUUAUAGUAUGGAUCAUGUCUUGGCUGUUCAUAGAAUCCUUCAAAUGCAUGUACUUAUUGGUCCCUUGCAUAGCCAUAAUUUGGAUGGUCUCCCCAAUGUGGAUUGUAUGUGUUAUGGUAGGGAUCAUGUCUUGGCUGUCCAUAGGGUCCUUCAAAUGCAAGUGCUUGUUGGGCCAUUUGAUCCACUUCGUGUUGGAAAUGUUGUAAAGCCUUUAAUUUCUCAUAAAGAUCAGUAUUGAAACCUUGAGGUAUUGGUUGGGCUUGUUCAGCUUGGCCUAUAACAAGAAUUCUCACAGCAGAGAUUAGUUUAGAAAGUUGAGAACAACGAACAUAUGUACUUACCUCAGCCAUGAUUCAGAUCUGCGAUGGUGACUGUGCCUUUGGUGAAUAUUUUUUUUUUUUAAUGUUCAGAUCUGAUCCUGAAAGAAAAACAAAUGAGUUAAAUCAAUUCCCCGGCAACGGCGCCAAUUUUUGACUCGCGGUUGUCGAAGCCGGUCAAAAAUAACCUUUCUGGUUAUCAACAAUUUACAACUGCAGAUAGUGGUGAAAGGAUCGAAUCUACAGGGAAUUG